CAUGUACAGGUUUUACGGUGAUUUGGAAAGUUACAGGGUUUUUUGCAUUUUUCACACACAAAUACUAAUGCUAACUUUGGCCAGUGUUUGUGAACAAAUGGCUACUAAUGGCCACCUCUUCAGUGCUUGUCAACAAUUGCAAUACCCGUGAAUGUGAGCAAUUUAGGAAUAUUUUGGAUUAAUUAGGAUUAUUUUCGUGUAUACAAAAGUGUGAAGAGACAGCGUGAUUAGCAAAGCCCUUUUCUAUAUUUCUGCAAUGCUCCGCUAUCCUCACUUUAAGGGGUCUACUCGUUCUACCAAUAUAUU